AGCUGGAGCUCCAGAGUGACUGGUUUCCCACAGCUGCUGUCCAGUUUGAACUGGGCUGUGCUUUGACUGUGGGUUCUUCACUGGGGUGGGUAUAAGAAGUACCUGCUGAAUCCAAGGGCUGACGCAGGCACCGCUCCUUGGAAGCAGGAUGUACACGCUGUUUUGAGAAUGGAAGCCGUUCUCCAGCACCAGGAGAUGAGACCACAGUUAAAGAGGCCCAACAGUGGACAAAACAGACGCCAAACACACACAGGAAGACCGAGGACUUGUAGGGAGGCAGAAGUCAGGAAAUAGUGGAACCCAUCCCUGUUCCUCUCCACCCUGCUCCCACGACAUGUUCCCACAUUGCCCCUUUGACAAUGAGAAAAUAUUCAAGAGAAUCCUACCAUCUUCCUAGACGACGAAACUGGAGCUGCUUCAGAGCUAUCUGUCAGCCUCUGCAGACUGGCACUCCUAGCUAAUCCCCAGGGCUCCCGGGGCCAGGGUGUCGGAGGUUUGUUGGUGCCCUGGGAGAGGUGACCCUAGGGAACAGGUGUGGCCCUCUCCAGUCAAGCAGAAGACAGGGGCUUGUCCGGGAUGUCAAAGAUUUUAAAUAUUUGCAGAGAGUUAAUCCCUUCUUUAUUUGUGAAGCUAAGACUAUUAUUUUUAAAAUACUUUUUACCUGCCGAUGUGGAAUUUAGGAAUCCUAAUUUAGGAAUUACUUGGGAGUCACUCCUCACAAGAAGCAGUGGGUGCUUAGAGAUGGCCGCUUCUGUUAACUCGCUUGCGACUGUCAUUUUAACAUCUUUUUUUGAGUCCUUCAUUGUCUGCUGAAUAAUGACCAAAGUCCAUGAUCUGACAUUCUUGGCCUUCUGUCAGCUGGCCACAGUCUCAUCCACUCCACCUCUCCACAGACCCCAUAAUCCAAUUAUCCCUGACUAUUGACAGUUCCGGAACACAUCAUAAAGUUUCAGUGCUUUUAUUGCUCCAACCUGAUAUGCCUUGUUUUUUUUUCAUUUUCCAGUUAUUAAAUUUCACUUAUUUACUUUCUUAAACAUUUAAUGAGCAUUGGGAAUACAAACAUGAAUGGACCUUGUCCUCCAGAAAUUUAGACUCUAAACAAGGGAGACUGACAUAGGAAUAAACAAACUCUCUUACUUGUCAUCUUCCUCAGGGUUCUGAUAUUCCUGUCCUCUGGAAAGUUUUCAAUGACCAGUGAAAACUGGGUCAUGUGCCACAAUUAUAGUAAUUGCCUGAUUCUCUAGUCUUUCUCUCCCCCUUAGGCUGUAGGCUUUUUAAGAGAGGAGAUGUUUUUAUUCAUAAUGGCUUUUUCCUUUCUUAGGAGAGUGGUUGUUCGGCACCUGUUAUUGGGCAAGGAGUGAGAGAAUGAAUUGCUCGACUGGAGGAAGCACAGGGUGUUAGGAGAGCAAAUAGAGGACAUGCUCCUCCCAGGCAUAAAACCAAAGAAGAUUGUCCAGAGGAUGCCUAAGCUGAGUUCAGAGGAUGGCCGAAAGUAAGAAUCAUCAACCAACAACUUCAGGUUUCUGGUUCCACAAGUAAGGUGCUUGGAAAUUGCCACUCGCUCCACUAUAACAAGUAAAAAGCUGAACAAACUGAAGAAGUGACAAUUCUUAGUUCGUAAGAGAUGUGAAGUCACAGGCCAUACUGCUGCGUCCAAAAUUAGAGAGACAGAAAGGUGAAUACAGAGAAUUCCAACUUAUCAGAGCAGAAUCUUGUGAGCAGAAACUCCUCUGUACUUAAAGGAUGCUCGAUGGGAACCAGGGCUGGGGUAGGAAAACCGGAGCUGUGAUUGACAGUUACUGGAGGCUCAGUGUGGACAAGUAUAUGCAAGAUAAGAACUCCAGGGGAACCCAAUCUUAUGGGCCCAUACUCUUGUGAGAAUACUUCUAAAUUCAUUCUGUGAGGCCAGCAUUACCCUAAUAUCAAAACCAGACAAAUACAUUACAAGAAAGAAAACUGCAGUCUGAUAUCUCUCAUGAGCAUAGACACAAAACUCCUCAACAAAAUACUAGCGAAUUGAACCCAACAAUGUAUAAAAAGAAUUAAGUAUCACGACCAAGUGGGAUUUAUCACAGGUAUGCAAUUCUGGUUCAACAUUUGAAAAUCAAGUAAUGUAAUCUAUCACAUCAACAGACUAAAGAAGAAAAUCUCAAGAUGAAAUCAAUAGAUGCAGAAAAAGUAGUUGACAAAUCCAAUACCUACUCAUGAUAAAACUCACAGUGAACUAGGAAUGGAAGGGAACUUUCUCAGUCUGAUCAAGGAUAACAAUCUACAGCUAACAUCAUACUCAAUGGAGAAACUGGAAGCCUUCUCUUUAAGAUCAUGUACAAAGCAAGAAUGUUCCUUCUUACCGAUUAUUUUCAACUUAGUAUUGGACGUCCUAGGUCAUGCAAUAAGAUGAGAAAAGGAAACAAAAGGUAUACUGAUUGGGAAGGAAGAAAUAAAACUGUAUGCAAAUGACAUGAUCAUCUAUGUAGAAAAUCUGAAAGAACUGAUUGAAAAACCAAAAACACCUCCUGGUAAUAAUAAGCAAUUAGAACAAGGUUAAAAGACAUAGGUUACUAUACAAAAGUCAAUUGCUUUCCUAUAUACCAGCAAUAAACAAGCAGAAUUUGAAACUGAAAACACAGUACUAUUUACAUUAGCAUCC